CAGUCGCCGCGGUAAUACGGAGGGAGCUAGCGUUGUUCGGAAUUACUGGGCGUAAAGCGCACGUAGGCGGAUAUUCAAGUCAGAGGUGAAAGCCCGGGGCUCAACCCCGGAACUGCCUUUGAAACUAGAUGACUAGAAUCUUGGAGAGGUCAGUGGAAUUCCGAGUGUAGAGGUGAAAUUCGUAGAUAUUCGGAAGAACACCAGUGGCGAAGGCGACUGACUGGACAAGUAUUGACGCUGAGGUGCGAAAGCGUGGGGAGCAAACAGGAUUAGAUACCCCAGUAGUCCCUGUCUCUUAUAC
rnacentral:rRNA from 1 species